rnacentral:tRNA from 1 species
GCCUGUGUGGCUCAGUCGGUUGAGUGUCCGACUUCAGCUCAGGUCAUGAUCUCGUGGUUCGUGGGUUCGAGCCCCUCAUCGGGCU